rnacentral:rRNA from 1 species
UACGUAGGUGACCAGCGUUGUCCGGAUUUACUGGGCGUAAAGAGCGCGCAGGCGGUCGUUCAAGUCGGGGGUGAAAGCCCCCGGCUCAACUGGGGAGGGUCACUCGAUACUGAUCGACUUGAAGGCAGGAGAGGGAAGCGGAAUUCCCGGUGUAGUGGUGAAAUGCGUAGAUAUCGGGAGGAACACCAGUGGCGAAGGCGGCUUCCUGGCCUGUUCUUGACGCUGAGGCGCGAAAGCUAGGGGAGCAAACGGG